rnacentral:rRNA from 1 species
UCGGGAAUUUUGGGCAAUGGGCGAAAGCCUGACCCAGCAACGCCGCGUGAGGGAUGAAGUAUUUCGGUAUGUAAACCUCGAAAGAAUGGGAAGAAUAAAUGACGGUACCAUUUAUAAGCUCCGGCUGACUACGUGCCAGUAGCCGCGGUAAUACGUAGGGAGCAAGCGUUGUUCGGAUUUACUGGGCGUAAAGGGCGCGUAGGCGGCGCGGUAAGUCACUUGUGAAAUCUCUGAGCUUAACUCAGAACGGCCAAGUGAUACUGCUGUGCUAGAGUGCGGAAGAGGCAACCGGAAUGCCUGGUGUAGCGGUGAAAUGCGUAGAUAUCAAGAGGAGCACCUGAGGCGAAGGCGGGUUGCUGGGCCGACACUGACGCUGAUGCGCGAAAGCCAGGGGAGCAAACG